GAAGGCGGCCCCCUGGACAAAGACUGACGCUCAGGUGNGAAAGCGUGGGGAGCCAAACAAGAUUAGAUANCCUGGUAGUNCNCGCCGUAAACGAUGUUGACUUNGAGGUUGUUNCCUUGAGGAGUGGCUUNCGGAGAUAACGCGUUAAGUNGACCGCCUGGGGAGUACGGCCGCAAGGUUAAAAAUCAAAAGAANUGACGGGGGGCCNCACNAGCGGGGGAGCAUGUGGUUUAAUUUGAUGCAACGCGAAGAACCUUNCCUANUNUUGACAUNCCCGGAAUUUGGCAGAGAUGCCUUNGUUCCUUUGGGAACCNUNAGACAGGUGCUGCAUGGCNGUUGUCAGCUCGUGUUNUGAAAUGUUNGGUUAAAUCCCGCAACGAGCGCAAACCNUUUCCUUUGUUGCCAGCGCGUUAUGUCGGGAACUCAAAGGAGACUGCCGGUGAUAAACCGGAGGAAGGUGGGGAUGACGUCAAGUCAUCAUGGCCCUUACGAGUAGGGCUACACACGUGCUACAAUGGCGCAUACAAAGAGAAGCGACCUCGCGAGAGCAAGCGGACCUCACAAAGUGCGUCGUAGUCCGGAUCGGAGUCUGCAACUCGACUCCGUGAAGUCGGAAUCGCUAGUAAUCGUGGAUCAGAAUGCCACGGUGAAUACGUUCCCGGGCCUUGUACACACCGCCCGUCACACCAUGGGAGUGGGUUGCAAAAGAAGUAGGUAGCUUAACCUUCGGGAGGGCGC
rnacentral:rRNA from 1 species